UUUAAUCGGUCAUCUCAGCGCUGUUUUAUCGCCCUUUCACGGCGAAAACACGGGUUCGAUUCCCGUAGGGCGCGCCA
rnacentral:tRNA from 1 species